CCUACGGGAGGCAGCAGUAGGGAAUCAUCCGCAAUGGGCGAAAGCCUGACGGUGCAACGCCGCGUGAACGAUGAAGGUUUUCGGAUCGUAAAGUUCUGUUAUGAGGGAAGAACAAGUGCCGUUCGAAUAGGGCGGCACCUUGACGGUACCUCACGAGAAAGCCCCGGCUAACUACGUGCCAGCAGCCGCGGUAAUACGUAGGGGGCAAGCGUUGUCCGGAAUUAUUGGGCGUAAAGCGCGCGCAGGCGGUCUCUUAAGUCUGAUGUGAAAGCCCACGGCUCAACCGUGGAGGGUCAUUGGAAACUGGGAGACUUGAGUGUAGGAGAGGAAAGUGGAAUUCCACGUGUAGCGGUGAAAUGCGUAGAUAUGUGGAGGAACACCAGUGGCGAAGGCGACUUUCUGGCCUACAACUGACGCUGAGGCGCGAAAGCGUGGGGAGCAAACAGGAUUAGAUACCCUGGUAGUCCACGCUGUAAACGAUGAGUGCUAGGUGUUAGGGGUUUCGAUGCCCUUAGUGCCGAAGUUAACACAUUAAGCACUCCGCCUGGGGAGUACGGCCGCAAGGCUGAAACUCAAAGGAAUUGACGG
rnacentral:rRNA from 1 species